UUAAAUUGAAGAGUUUGAUCAUGGCUCAGAUUGAACGCUGGCGGCAGGCCUAACACAUGCAAGUCGAACGGUAACAGGAAGAAGCUUGCUUCUUUGCUGACGAGUGGCGGACGGGUGAGUAAUGUCUGGGAAACUGCCUGAUGGAGGGGGAUAACUACUGGAAACGGUAGCUAAUACCGCAUAACGUCGCAAGACCAAAGAGGGGGACCUUCGGGCCUCUUGCCAUCGGAUGUGCCCAGAUGGGAUUAGCUUGUUGGUGGGGUAACGGCUCACCAAGGCGACGAUCCCUAGCUGGUCUGAGAGGAUGACCAGCCACACUGGAACUGAGACACGGUCCAGACUCCUACGGGAGGCAGCAGUGGGGAAUAUUGCACAAUGGGCGCAAGCCUGAUGCAGCCAUGCCGCGUGUAUGAAGAAGGCCUUCGGGUUGUAAAGUACUUUCAGCGGGGAGGAAGGGAGUAAAGUUAAUACCUUUGCUCAUUGACGUUACCCGCAGAAGAAGCACCGGCUAACUCCGUGCCAGCAGCCGCGGUAAUACGGAGGGUGCAAGCGUUAAUCGGAAUUACUGGGCGUAAAGCGCACGCAGGCGGUUUGUUAAGUCAGAUGUGAAAUCCCCGGGCUCAACCUGGGAACUGCAUCUGAUACUGGCAAGCUUGAGUCUCGUAGAGGGGGGUAGAAUUCCAGGUGUAGCGGUGAAAUGCGUAGAGAUCUGGAGGAAUACCGGUGGCGAAGGCGGCCCCCUGGACGAAGACUGACGCUCAGGUGCGAAAGCGUGGGGAGCAAACAGGAUUAGAUACCCUGGUAGUCCACGCCGUAAACGAUGUCGACUUGGAGGUUGUGCCCUUGAGGCGUGGCUUCCGGAGCUAACGCGUUAAGUCGACCGCCUGGGGAGUACGGCCGCAAGGUUAAAACUCAAAUGAAUUGACGGGGGCCCGCACAAGCGGUGGAGCAUGUGGUUUAAUUCGAUGCAACGCGAAGAACCUUACCUGGUCUUGACAUCCACAGAACUUUCCAGAGAUGGAUUGGUGCCUUCGGGAACUGUGAGACAGGUGCUGCAUGGCUGUCGUCAGCUCGUGUUGUGAAAUGUUGGGUUAAGUCCCGCAACGAGCGCAACCCUUAUCCUUUGUUGCCAGCGGUCCGGCCGGGAACUCAAAGGAGACUGCCAGUGAUAAACUGGAGGAAGGUGGGGAUGACGUCAAGUCAUCAUGGCCCUUACGACCAGGGCUACACACGUGCUACAAUGGCGCAUACAAAGAGAAGCGACCUCGCGAGAGCAAGCGGACCUCAUAAAGUGCGUCGUAGUCCGGAUUGGAGUCUGCAACUCGACUCCAUGAAGUCGGAAUCGCUAGUAAUCGUGGAUCAGAAUGCCACGGUGAAUACGUUCCCGGGCCUUGUACACACCGCCCGUCACACCAUGGGAGUGGGUUGCAAAAGAAGUAGGUAGCUUAACCUUCGGGAGGGCGCUUACCACUUUGUGAUUCAUGACUGGGGUGAAGUCGUAACAAGGUAACCGUAGGGGAACCUGCGGUUGGAUCACCUCCUUACCUUAAAGAA
rnacentral:rRNA from 1 species